GGGAGCGCUCCGCCGAGCAAGGUCGCGAGCGGCCGAGUCGCGGAGGCGCCUCCGCUGCAGUCGCUGCGUCUCCAAGGUGGGGCUGUCAGACCGCCCCCCGCAGAGCCUCCAGCUUCCCCGGGCCUUGGCUACCGUCCGCGGGCCUGUGGCGAUGGAGAGGCGCUGCCGGGACACCUUCCCGCACCCCUGAGAGCAGCGCCCGAGGAUCUGAGGAGCCCUUUAUUCUGCGGUUUCGGUUACGUAAACGGAGCCCAGGGAGGUAGAGACACUCACCAUUGGAUUUAGGGCUCAGCUGUGGAUAAUCCAGGAUGAUCUCAUUU